rnacentral:rRNA from 1 species
UACGGAGGGGGCUAGCGUUGUUCGGAAUUACUGGGCGUAAAGCGCGCGUAGGCGGCUUUGUAAGUCAGAGGUGAAAGCCUGGAGCUCAACUCCAGAACUGCCUUUGAGACUGCAUCGCUUGAAUCCGGGAGAGGUGAGUGGAAUUCCGAGUGUAGAGGUGAAAUUCGUAGAUAUUCGGAAGAACACCAGUGGCGAAGGCGGCUCACUGGACCGGUAUUGACGCUGAGGUGCGAAAGCGUGGGGAGCAAAC